GAUGAAGAACGUAGCGAAAUGCGAUAAGUAAUGUGAAUUGCAGAAUUCAGUGAAUCAUCGAAUCUUUGAACGCACAUUGCGCCCGCCAGCAUUCUGGCGAGCAUGCCUGUUCGAGCGUCAUUUCAACCCUCGAGCCCCCCCGGGGGCCUCGGUGUUGGGGGACGGCACACCAGCCGCCCCCGAAAUGCAGUGGCGACCCCGCCGCAGCCUCCCCUGCGUAGUAGCACACACCUCGCACCGGAGCGCGGAGGCGGUCACGCCGUAAAACGCCCAACUUUCUUAGAGUUGACCUCGGAUCAGGUAGGAAUACCCGCUGAACUUAAGCAUAUCAAUAAGCGGAGGA
rnacentral:misc_RNA from 1 species